UGGCACGUCAUGAGAUGCCCAGGACUAGGCUGAAACAUCUGUUUUAGCAAAAGAGGAAGGAAAGGCAGCAAAUACUUGGGCCAACAGCCUCUGCAGGACCAAAUUGACAGCUCUUUAAAGGCGGCUGACGAAAAGCAGCAUUAAUUAAGUCAUUGCCGGACUGUAAUUGUGUUAAGAAGUAAAAAUCUAAUAUGAGAAAAGCAGGUCUCAUCUCCCUGAAGCUUCAUCCUCUUUCAAAGGCUCCUCCGACUAUGUGCAACCCACCCAGAGGAAUCUCCAUUUGAUCAACUACAAGUCAACUGUUAUUUGUUCGACUGCUCCCUGAGUCAUUCGUUAGUGAAAUUGUUUUCCAGCAGAGGCUUCCCGAGUACCUCUGU